ensembl:lncRNA
AUGAUGGUGGUAGUAGUGGUAAUGAUGAUGGUGGUUGUAGUAGUGGUAAUGGGAAUGGUGGUGGUAGUAGUAGUGGUAAUGAUGGUGGUAGUAGUAGUGGUAAUGAUGAUGGUGGUGGUAGUAGUGGUAAUGAUGAUGGUGGUAGUAGUGGUAAUGAUGAUGAUGGUAGUAGUAGUGGUAAUGAUGAUGAUGGUAGUGGUGGUAAUGAUGAUGGUGGUAGUAGUGGUAUUGAUGAUGGUGGUAGUAGUGGUAAUGAUGAUGGUGGUAGUAGUAGUGGUAAUGAUGAUGGUGGUGGUAGUAGUGGUAAUAAUGAUGGUGGUAGUAGUAGUGGUAAUGAUGAUGAUGGUAGUAGUAGUGGUAAUGAUGGUGGUGGUAGUAGUGGUAAUGAUGAUGGUGGUAGUAGUGGUAAUGAUGAUGGUGGUGGUAGUAGUGGUAAUAAUGAUGGUGGUAGUAGUAGUGGUAAUGAUGAUGAUGGUAGUAGUAGUGGUAAUGAUGGUGGUGGUAGUAGUAGUGGUAAUGAUGAUGGUGGUAGUAGUAGUGGUAAUGAUGAUGAUGGUAGUAGUAGUGGUAAUGAUGAUGAUGGUGGUAGUAGUGGUAAUGAUGAUGGUGGUAGUAGUGGUAAUGAUGAUGGUUUUAGUAGUAGUGGUAAUGAUGAUGGUGGUGGUAGUAGUGGUAAUGAUGAUGGUGGUAGUAGUG